rnacentral:rRNA from 1 species
CUACGGGCUGCUCCAGUGGGGAAUAUUGCACAAUGGGCGCAAGCCUGAUGCAGCCAUGCCGCGUGUAUGAAGAAGGCCUUCGGGUUGUAAAGUACUUUCAGUCGGGAGGAAGGUGGUAAGGUUAAUAACCUUAUCAAUUGACGUUACCGACAGAAGAAGCACCGGCUAACUCCGUGCCAGCAGCCGCGGUAAUACGGAGGGUGCAAGCGUUAAUCGGAAUUACUGGGCGUAAAGCGCACGCAGGCGGUUGAUUGAGUCAGAUGUGAAAUCCCCGGGCUUAACCCGGGAAUUGCAUCUGAUACUGGUCAGCUAGAGUCUUGUAGAGGGGGGUAGAAUUCCAUGUGUAGCGGUGAAAUGCGUAGAGAUGUGGAGGAAUACCGGUGGCGAAGGCGGCCCCCUGGACAAAGACUGACGCUCAGGUGCGAAAGCGUGGGGAGCAAACAGGAUUAGAUACCCUAGUAGUC